rfam:Triticum aestivum genome assembly, contig: Triticum_aestivum_CS42_TGACv1_scaffold_514263_6BS
AUCCCUCUGAAGAUUCUCAGACCAGGAAGUGCCGUAUGACACUGUAAACAACAGCUGCUUCUCACCACUGCAUGCGACCUCCUUUGGCUAUAACCUUUGUGGUUUGGUCAUGUUUGGAAUCUCCAUUUGCACCUGGUUUGGUUCAGCUGUGUGCUUGAUUUUAAAUGUGUCUCUGAUCGAA